GACGGAGGGUGCAAGCGUUGCUCGGAAUCACUGGGCGUAAAGGGUGCGUAGGCGGUCUCGCAAGUCUGGCGUGAAAGCCCAAGGCUCAGCCUUGGAAGUACGCUCGAAACGGCGAGGCUGGAGUGCCGGAGGGGAGAGUGGAAUUCUCGGUGUAGCAGUGAAAUGCGUAGAUAUCGAGAGGAACACCAGUGGCGAAGGCGAGUCUCUGGACAUUUCCUGACGCUGAGGCACGAAAGCCAGGGGAGCAAACGGG
rnacentral:rRNA from 1 species